AGGGGUUGAAUUUCACAUUUUUCCCCCUUAAAUUUGAACUAUUCUCGGCAGCGCCACUGCCGGAACGAGUCCAAGCUCAAGUGUUAAAUAUAGUCGGUGAUAUGUGAUAGUUCAUUCCUCAAGUUUGAACUAGUUCCGGCAUUGGAUUAUUUCUAAGGAUUCCCUGAAGUCUUCGUAUUAAAUUACAGUCCCUAAAAGUUUGGCAGAACGGAAGUCCCCUUUUAUAUACGUCCUCCCCUGCUCUUAAGAGAGAGGGGCUGAGGGAGGGAGCUCGACGAGUAAAGAGUUUCCGUUUCCUUUUCCGAUUCCUAGGGUAUUCCACCGACUCCAAUCGCGGUUCCCAUGGCGGAGGUGAUGGACAUUACCGCUGAAACCCUACGUCGCCGCCGGGACCGGAGAGGAGGGAUAGCUCAGCCGGAACCCUCCACCGCCAAAAAUAAGGGAUCGUGGCUCAAGGGAGUGGCGGAUGACCACUACGACUCGAGGAACCGUCCGCCGCCGACGCCGCCUCUCGGAUCAUCGAGGAUCGAGUGCCUCCGGCGGAGCCCACCCCGUUACGGCAACCGUGACCGUCGGCGCUCCCCCUCGCCGGUUACCACCGCCGGGGACGAUCAAGCGGUCAAGAAGGGAUGAUGGUGGGUAUGAUAGGCGCCGCGGUAGUCCGGUGAGGGGUUUACGGUCAGAAGAUCGAAGGAAUGACUAUGACGAAACUAGUUUAAAAAAGACUGCACGGUCUGCGGGUGCGUCGUUCAUGAGAAGGAAAGGGCAUGCUAGGACUGCUGCAAAGAAAUUUUUUCUUAGAGGUGGAACUUCGGACCUGCAAGAUGUUUAUCACAGCCUAUGCUUGUACGUGCACAUUUAAUGUCUAGCCUUGUUGGGGAAAAAAUGGACCACCCCACAAAUACAAUCAGAGCACGCGAAUCCGACGACAGGCAUGACCCCGAUAAGCAUGAUCUCGGCAUGCACAACUUCGGCAGGCAUGACCUCAGAAGGCCGAGCUCAGAAAACCAACUUCAUAAGGCCGAGCUUAUAAGGCCGAGCGCGAAACGCCCACAUAAAGAAGGGAGCAUCAAAUCCUCCAUAUUCGGAAUCAAAUCCCGCAGUCUUCGCCACCACAGCUGUCAAAAUUUGAAUAACUACUAUCUCAACCGAUUGCCUGCUAAUUUGAACGCCUGUGCCAUCUAAGGUAACCUAUUUAAUCCGAGAUAUGCGCAAUCGCAAUCAAGGGUGAGUAACCGCCACACCCCCUCCUAUAAAGAGGGGGGAACGCUGGCGAGGCAGGGCGCUUCCUCCAAAAAGAGGGACUUUCUCCAUUACCUCCCCGGCCAUUACUUUUCUCCAUUACCUCUCUCCAUUACUUCUCUCUAUUAAAUUUUUUUUCUAACUUAAGCAUCGGAGGGCCGGCGCCGGAACCCUCGGCCACAGGCUUCUUGCAGGUCCGCCGAAGACAGCCGUCCGCCGCCGCACCACCAGCCGGAGCUCCUCCUCCUCAGUCCACGGUCAUUCCCGGGUCCAAUUUCCAGCAACAGUUGGCGCUAGAGAAAGGGCCCGAGUCGUGAUCAUGAGACUAAGGAGCAGAGGAGUCUCUUAUACCUUCCGGCAUCAUGCACCAAGUUCUGGACGCUCAGUCCAGAAUCCACCACCAAGACCUCCGGCAGAUCAAGUUCUACAAGUCCAACCCGAGCAGUUCGACGCGCUGGUGCAACAAAGUCCAAACGCUAGCCACUGCAGUCCAAAGUCUGCAACAAGUGGAGGCCCCUCCUGUGCCUCCUCCACGGGUUUACGUUAAGCGGAGGAAGAAACUUUCUCCCGAGCCAUCUCGAAUCAGGCACGGCUCCCGCUGCAACGACGUGGGACGUGGGGGGAACCAGUGAGAAGUAGUAGCCCGAGUCUCAUAUCAACAAGUUGGAGGGGAAGAGAAAUAAAAAAUGAGAUCUGAAGGGAAAAGAGUAGGAAAGUUAUGAAGUUUUAAAAUGGGAUUGUAAGCCUCUGUGGCAAAGGGUACAGUGUCUGUAACAGAGGACCCACCAGAUUCUUCCCAUUAAAUCCCAUUGCCGUUCAAACUCUUCUCUUUUGUUCUGCGAUCAGGACGAAGGCUACGUGUCCCCACUUCCCUCGUUCGGAUCAUCAAGGCCUGCAGCAAGUAAGAGACCAGCAUGUACUCCCUCCUCAUGGGUGUAAGUCCUCAGGACGGCGCUCAGUCGCCAGGCCAGGAAGGCCCUUUUUGGUAGCAGGACUAGAUCCCGCAUCGAAGGAACGAAACCAUGCGGGGGCAUGGUACCUACACGGACCCUCCCAGAGUGGACAAUACCUCACGAUGCAAGGCCGACCUUCGUUUUUCGUGACCUUAACGGCUGGUGCUUUCACUAAGAGCCGAGCUCAGAAGGCCAAGCUCGAAAACCGAGCUUAGAAGCAUGAGCGCAGAACGCCUCCCCCAGAAGGUCGAGCUCAGAAGGCUGGUGCCGAGCUAAGUCCUGAGGGACUUCGAAGCUCGGAAGCCAUCAAAAUAUCUCCAAAAGGUACAGGACGCCACUUUGGCUUUAAAUAAUUUCAAUAUUUUACCUAUUUUCAGGUCGGAGAAUGCAAAAGAAGACUUACGAGUAUCUCUAUCUCCAACGUUGCCCCGCUCUGAGUGGGGGCGCACGAUCGCCAACGGAUGAGGCCCGUCUCCUGUAUGUAUCUCCAAUAAUGCCCCGACCAAGCUCAGGAUGCUCGACCAAGCUCGGGAUAAUCCGCUGAGUCGACCGCGAGCUAAGGUUUCCUCGACCUCGGGAACUACUCGAUGACGCCCCGACCAAGCUUGGGAUGCCCCGACCAAGCUCGGAACGCCAUUUCGACACCAUUCAACGCCCUUCGACGACAUUCAACGCCUCCUACGACAACGCGCCCCGAUCUGAGUAGGGGCACCCUGCUGAGUUGACCACAAGCCAAAGAAGGCCGCUGAAGUCGACCUCGGAGCAGAGUCGCUUAGCUCGGCUUAAGGCCGUUAGCUUCGACUGCACGAGAGGUACAUCCUACUUGGCACAUACAUCUCCAUAGACAUUUGGCUAUAUUAUAGGACGAUCGACGAUUGGACUACUUCCUUCGCCCAAGCCAAAAAACAGCUCGAACUCGGAAGUUGGGGGAUAGUGUUGGGGAAAAAAUGGACCACCCCACAAAUACAAUUAGAGCACCCUAAUCCGACGACAGGCGUGACCCCGGCAAGCAUGAUCUCGGCAUGCACGACCUCAGCAGGCAUGACCUCAGAAAGCCGAGCUCAGAAAAGCGACCUCAUAAGGCCGAGCGCGGAACGCCCACAUAAAGAAGGGAGCACCAAAUCCUUCAUAUUCGGGAUCAAAUCCCGCAGUCUCUGCCACCACAGCUGUCAAAAUUUGAAUUCCUACUAUUUCAACCGAUUGCCAGCUAAUUUGAACGCCCGUGCCAUCUAAUGUAACCUAUUUAAUCCGAGAUAUGCGCAAUCACAAUCAAGGAUGAGUAACUGCCACACCCCCUCCUAUAAAGAGGGGGGAACGCUGGCGAGGCAGGGGGCUUCCUCCUCUUUCCUCCAAAAAGAGGGACUUUCUCCAUUACCUCCCCGGCCAUUACUUUUCUCUCUUACCUCUCUCCAUUACUUCUCUCUAUUAAAAACCUCCCUCUGACUUAAGCAUCGGAGGGCCGGCGCCGGAACCCCGGCCACAGGCUUCUUGCAGGUCCGCCGGAGACAGUCGUCCGCCGCCGCACCACCAGCCGGAGCUUCUCCUCGGUUUGCGGUCACCUCCGGGUCCAAUUUCCAGCAACAAGCCUCAACUUCUUUUGAUGUUUGAUAUGUAGUAGGCCUGGCCAAACAGCUUUAUCAUUUGCAUUGAUUAUUGAUUUGAACUCUGAGGAUGAACCAGAUGCUGAUGGUGAAAGAAAAGGAUACUGCAGGGAUCCAGAAAAGGAAAAUAAUCUGCUUUUCUGCUGUCCCCAAAGCUUACCCAAUUAAUUCCGAACCUUUGGCAAAUUCAAGAAGGCACUGUGCAGACUCUGUAGGAAGCUCUUUCAUGAUCCUGAAUUUGUUCGUAAAUAUCAGCUUAAACGCCCCAACCUUGUGAUGGAGCUGACCUCGAUGAUUUAUGAGGAUGUGCAUUUGCAUUUUAAAAACUAUAUAAAGAAAGGUGCAGCAUGUGGAGGAAUGAAAUUGCGUGGUUAUGUUUGCCAUGGCCAUGAUUCAACAUCAGUUGCAGUUAUGACACAGGUGAUCGCUGUUCACAAUAACAGAAAGAUUUACUUUAUCUUUAGAAUGUCUCUCCUCUAGAAGAGGGAUAUAAAUAAAUAAAUAAAUAAAUAGAGAUAAUCAUUCGAACUUAUUUGCUUACAAGUUGAAUACUGACAUUUUUCAUGAUAUGUUAAUGCUGAAGUUAUCUUUUUUACCUCGAAACUGCUAAAUGUUAUGCGGGAUGGUGCUGCCGUUACUUGGUCUUCUUAUUGCUGGAGCAUCCUUAGUGGCGGUUGGUACAACAGGAAUUGCUACUGAUGAGCCUGUCAGUUCCAUCAUAGCUGGUAGUUUACCUGGAAUGGGAUGAUGUCCUUGUAUCUUGAUAUUUACUUUCUUAUCCAAAUUACUUAAUUUUACAUGCUUCCAAUCAGGGAAAAAAUUCCUAUAAAAAUUAUCAAUUUGGCUAGAAAAUAUAGAAUUUAGGAAGCAAUUACCUGCAAAAUAAUAAGUACUUAAUGAGUUCUUAAGCCUGAUUAUCCUGAAGAAUCAUAAGCAUAUGCAAUUCAAUGAUGAAAAGGCUUGAACUUCGAAAUAAAAUUUGAAAUUAACCUUGUA